AGCUUUAUAUUCAAUAAUGAUAUUAAAUUGCAAAUUUAGAGGAGUAAAUAUUACUAAAGCUU
rnacentral:tRNA from 1 species